AAAGUGCGACAAGUGUCACGACUUGCAGAUUCCAGAGAGUUGACAAAUUUCUGAAUGCAAAUGGCGGUCGAAGUUCAACUCGACCAUGUAUUGCAGAGUGUAGCUGCCUUUGCGCUUCAUCUCAGAGAUGAAUCCUUUUUGGGAUUCACAUCUUGAGGAUCUGCAGCUGUGGCUUCUUCUUAUCAUUUGGUGAAUGGAUGAUAUAUUUUGACCCCACAGCUGUGAAAAGGCGAGACUUCUCAAACCAAAAUCCCUUAACUCAUUGGUCUUGUCUUGGAUCUAAUCAAAGACUAUAUAUUGACCUUUGAGGAAGAAAUCUUCUAAAGAGGAUGGAUUGAAAUGAAAGGUCUUAGACUCCCUCACAGAGUCAUCUCCAUUCAACAGUCCACCUCUGCAAUAC
rnacentral:misc_RNA from 1 species